rnacentral:rRNA from 1 species
UACGUAGGAUGCUAGCGUUGUCCGGAUUUACUGGGCGUAAAGCGCGCGCAGGCGGCACUGUAAGCAAGGUGUGAAAUCUCCCUGCUCAACGGGGAGGGUGCACUUUAGACUGCAGAGCUAGAGGACGGUAGAGGGGGGUGGAAUUGCUGGUGUAGCGGUGAAAUGCGUAGAGAUCAGCAGGAACACCCGUGGCGAAGGCGGCCCCCUGGGCCGAACCUGACGCUGAGGCGCGAAGGCUAGGGGAGCGAACGGG